rnacentral:pre_miRNA from 1 species
AAAAACAAAUUUUCUGUCUUGCCCAGAGCUUUCGGUCUUUUUUUUCCUUUUUUUACCGAAAAACCGAAAGCUGUGGGCAAGACAGAAAAUUUGUUUU